rnacentral:rRNA from 1 species
GACGAACGCUGGCGGCGUGCCUAAUACAUGCAAGUCGAGCGAGCGGAACCAACAGAUUUACUUCGGUAAUGACGUUGGGAAAGCGAGCGGCGGAUGGGUGAGUAACACGUGGGGAACCUGCCCCUAAGUCUGGGAUACCAUUUGGAAACAGGUGCUAAUACCGGAUAAUAAAGCAGAUCGCAUGAUCAGCUUUUGAAAGGCGGCGUAAGCUGUCGCUAAGGGAUGGCCCCGCGGUGCAUUAGCUAGUUGGUAAGGUAACGGCUUACCAAGGCGACGAUGCAUAGCCGAGUUGAGAGACUGAUCGGCCACAUUGGGACUGAGACACGGCCCAAACUCCUACGGGAGGCAGCAGUAGGGAAUCUUCCACAAUGGACGCAAGUCUGAUGGAGCAACGCCGCGUGAGUGAAGAAGGUUUUCGGAUCGUCAAGCUCUGUUGUUGGUGAAGAAGGAUAGAGGUAGUAACUGGCCUUUAUUUGACGGUAAUCAACCAGAAAGUCACGGCUAACUAC